rnacentral:rRNA from 1 species
UACGGGAGGCAGCAGUGGGGAAUAUUGCACAAUGGGCGCAAGCCUGAUGCAGCCAUGCCGCGUGUAUGAAGAAGGCCUUCGGGUUGUAAAGUACUUUCAGUCGUGAGGAAGGUGUUAAGGUUAAUAACCUUAGCAAUUGACGUUAGCGACAGAAGAAGCACCGGCUAACUCCGUGCCAGCAGCCGCGGUAAUACGGAGGGUGCGAGCGUUAAUCGGAAUUACUGGGCGUAAAGGGCACGCAGGCGGUUAAUUAAGUUGGAUGUGAAAUCCCCGGGCUUAACCUGGGAAUGGCAUUCAAGACUGGUUAGCUAGAGUCUUGUAGAGGGGGGUAGAAUUCCAUGUGUAGCGGUGAAAUGCGUAGAGAUGUGGAGGAAUACCGGUGGCGAAGGCGGCCCCUGGACAAAGACUGACGCUCAUGUGCGAAAGCGUGGGGAGCAAAC